AUGCAGGGAAAGAUACAGCAGUUUGCCUUACAACUCCUUCUUGACCUCCUCACUUUCCUAAAAAUUGCAAAGCAUGCUAAAUCACACCCGGGCACAAGUGGAGCAUUCAUCAGGAACCACGAGCCACUCUUUCAGUCUGCCAAACCUAUCCAAUUACUGAGGCUGGAAGAGCCUGCACAAACCCUUCUGCCAGGCAAGUUCUCUUGUUUGCACCCUCUAAAAAUAAUACCUUCUGAGCUCCGCACGCUUCCCCAUCCAAUCUUCACAUUGACUUUGAACUGGCAGAGCACUCAUUUAUCCUUCAUUGGCUUUUUCUCCGAGACCCCCCUUUUCUUCUUAAACAAUGAGAAAGAGAUGCUGCAUUUCUUUCUAGAGGAGAUAGGGGAGGAUGUGCAUAGAUUCACUUCCCAUUCUUCUCUCUAUUUUCUUGGCUACCUCUUCAGAUGUGCAAGUUGUACAUUCAAGUUCUUCUGAAGGGCAGCUGCACUCUGGUCCCAUGCUGCCCUCUGUCUUUCUGUUUCUUGCUAAAGAUGUUACAGAGUUCUUUAACCAGUAAGUUGGGAGAAACUGUUAAAAUUACUGGAAAAAUUGUGUCACUUGGGUUGAAAGUCAUGAGAGCUAGAUCCAGGCAUUCCUUUAAAAGUUGACAGAUGAUGGUAAAUUGUUUAAACGUAUAUAUCUCUUAACAUAUAUAUUAAUUUGUUAGGAGUUUUGGUUUUUUAACAAUAUUUUUACAUUUUCAACUUUUC
rnacentral:lncRNA from 1 species